AACGAACGCUGGCGGCAUGCCUAACACAUGCCAGUCGAACGAGACCUUCGGGUCUAGUGGCGCACGGGUGCGUAACGCGUGGGAACCUUCCCUUUGGUUCGGAAUAACUCCCCGAAAGGUGUGCUAAUACCGGAUAUUGUCUUCGGACCAAAGAUUUAUCGCCUUUGGAUGGGCCCGCGUUGGAUUAGCUAGUUGGUAGGGUAAAAGCCUACCAAGGCGACGAUCCAUAGCUGGUCUGAGAGGAUGAUCAGCCACACUGGGACUGAGACACGGCCCAGACUACUACGGGAGGCAGCAGUGGGGAAUAUUGGACAAUGGGCGAAAGCCUGAUCCAGCAAUGCCGCGUGAGUGAUGAAGGCCUUAGGGUUGUAAAGCUCUUUUACCCGGGAAGAUAAUGACAGUACCGGGAGAAUAAGCUCCGGCUAACUCCGUG
rnacentral:rRNA from 1 species